rnacentral:rRNA from 1 species
UACGUAGGGUGCAAGCGUUGUCCGGAAUUAUUGGGCGUAAAGAGCUCGUAGGCGGUCUGUCGCGUCUGCUGUGAAAACCUAGGGCUUAACUCUGGGCGUGCAGUGGGUACGGGCAGGCUAGAGUGCGGUAGGGGAGACUGGAAUUCCUGGUGUAGCGGUGAAAUGCGCAGAUAUCGGAGGAAGACACCAGUGGCGAAGGCAGCACUCUGGGCG